AGUAAAUGGGGAGAAAUUGGCAUAUGAAGCAUGGACUAAAGGUAUAAUAACAGUUUGGAGAUGGACUGAAGAUUACAAGCAAAUUCUGUCAUCAAUGAUGGCUUCAAAUGGCAAGGUCAAUGAUCCUUUCAUGAAGGAAAUGAGGGAGUACUAUAAUGUGAUGUAGAAGAACGCAUGAUUUAGAAGAACACAUGACUGUAAAUUAAAGGCCAUGGUGGUUCACGUGCAGAUGAGUAUUUAAAGGAGCAUCGUUUUGAGAAUCUGACUAAGCAUCCACAGUUUCUAAAAAAC